UACGUAGGGUCCGAGCGUUGUCCGGAAUUAUUGGGCGUAAAGGGCUCGUAGGUGGUUUGUCGCGUCGGGUGUGAAAUCCCUGGGCUUAACCCAGGGCCUGCUUUCGAUACGGGCAGACUAGAGGCAUUCAGGGGAGAACGGAAUUCCUGGUGUAGCGGUGAAAUGCGCAGAUAUCAGGAGGAACACCGGUGGCGAAGGCGGUUCUCUGGGAAUGUUCUGACGCUGAGGAGCGAAAGUGUGGGGAGCGAACAGG
rnacentral:rRNA from 1 species